GCACAAGCAGUGGAGUAUGUGGUUUAAUUCGAAGCAACGCGAAGAACCUUACCAGGUCUUGACAUCCGAUGCAUAGUGCAGAGAUGCAUGAAGUCCUUCGGGACAUCGAGACAGGUGGUGCAUGGUUGUCGUCAGCUCGUGUCGUGAGAUGUUGGGUUAAGUCCCGCAACGAGCGCAACCCUUAUUGCCAGUUACUACACAAGAGGACUCUGGCGAGACUGCCGUUGACAAAA
rnacentral:rRNA from 1 species